UAUUUCUGUUUCAGUCAUGUUAAGCGGUUGGCUGCCCUGUCACUGUGACGUAAAUAUCCGGUGUACAAGAUGAAGUCAUGUUAAGCGGUUGGCUGCCCUGUCACUGUGACGUAAAUAUCCGGUGUACAAGAUGAAGUCAUGUUAAGCGGUUGGCUGCCCUGUCACGGUGACGUAAAUAUCCGGUGUACAAGAUGAAGUCAUAUUAAGCGGUUGGCUGCCCUGUCACUGUGACGUAAAUAUCCGGUGUACAAGAUGAAGGCAAAAGUUCCUAGAAUGUGGAAAUAGUCCCUUUGAAAAUAGAUGCCGAGCGUGGUGUACAUGAAGGCGUCAGUGAGGAAGGCAUUGUUCGUAUGGUAAACCGAAGCCCACGUACGAGUACGCGAAGAAUUGCCAGCCAGGUCUCCAGACUUAAGCCCACUG